rnacentral:rRNA from 1 species
UACGUAGGGUGCAAGCGUUAUUCGGAAUUACUGGGCGUAAAGCGUGCGUAGGCGGCUUUGCAAGACAGAUGUGAAAUCCCCGGGCUUAACCUGGGAACUGCAUUUGUGACUGCAUGGCUGGAGUGCGGCAGAGGGGGAUGGAAUUCCGCGUGUAGCAGUGAAAUGCGUAGAUAUGCGGAGGAACACCGAUGGCGAAGGCAGUCCCCUGGGCCUGCACUGACGCUCAUGCACGAAAGCGUGGGGAGCAAACAGG